UCUUAGCUCCCAGGAACAUUGUGUUUCCAUUAGGGAUUCUUAAGAGGCCAGAAUGAGCCUCCUCUAAUAAUGAAAUUCUGGUCCCUGACUUGAGGUGAAGGUGUAGUUUUGGGUGAUGUCUUUCAGUACAACACUCAUCAACCAUUUGGAGAAAACCAACAUUCCGAAAGGAAACCCAGCUGUGCCAAAGAUUUAGAAUUGGAACAAGCAGCAAAACAUGUUUGAGAAUGGAUUUUAAAGCACUGACAAUGAAGCUCUGAGGAAAAACGGAACUAGAUAUUAAAACUCCUUCUCAGGACCAUGCUGCUACAAUGACCAGUGAAGUGAAGUUGACUGGUGGCUGGACAUGCUUUUGUUCAUCUCUUCAGCAAUCUUGGCGCACAGAUCUGAGCUACAUGCAACAAUGGCAUGACUUGGGAGCAACUGAGAAUUUUCAGAAGACAGAUCCCAAAAAAUAUCGCUAUGAUUUAUGACAAAGAGUGUUCUGCCUAGGACUUCCCUGGUGGCACAGUGGUUAAGAAUCCACCUGCCAGUGCAGGGGACAUGGGUUCAAUCCCUGAUCCAGGAAGAUCCUACAUGCCUUGGAGCAACUAAGCCCACGCGCCACAACUACUGAGCCUGUACUCUAGAGACCGUGUGCCACAACUACUAAGCCCGUGUGCCACAACUACUGAAGCCUGCGCCCCUAGAGCCUGUGCUCUGCAACAAGAGAAGCCACUGCAAUAUGAAGCUCACGCACCGCAAUGAAGAGUAGCCCCCGCUCACCGCAACUAGAGAAAGCCCACACGCAGCAAUGAAGACCUAACGCAGCUAAAAAUAAAUAAAUAAAUAAUAAA